CCGGCGACCGGCGCACGGGUGAGUAACACGUAUGCAACCUGCCCUCUUCAGGGGGACGAACCUUCCGAAAGGGAGGCUAAUCCCGCGUAUAUCGGUUUCGGGCAUCCGAGAUCGAGGAAAGAUUCAUCGGAAGAGGAUGGGCAUGCGGCGCAUUAGCUAGACGGCGGGGUAACGGCCCACCGUGGCGACGAUGCGUAGGGGUUCUGAGAGGAAGGUCCCCCACACUGGUACUGAGACACGGACCAGACUCCUACGGGAGGCAGCAG
rnacentral:rRNA from 1 species